AUUGAACGCUGGCGGCAGGCCUAACACAUGCAAGUCGAACGAGUGGCGGACGGGUGAGUAAUGUCUGGGAAACUGCCUGAUGGAUGGGGAUAACUACUGGAAACGGUAGCUAAUACCGCAUACCAUCGGAUGUGCCCAGAUGGGAUUAGCUAGUAGUUGGGGUAAAGGCUCACCUAGGCGACGAUCCCUAGCUGGUCUGAGAGGAUGACCAGCAAAACUGGAACUGAGAAACGGUCCAGGCUCCUCCGGGAGGCAGCAGUGGGGAAUAUUGCACAAUGGGCGCAAGCCUGAUGCAGCCAUGGGGCGUGUGUGAAGAAGGCCUUCGGGUUGUAAAGCACUUUCAGCGAGGAGGAGUUACUCGCAGAAGAAGCACCGGCUAACUCCGUGCCAGCAGCGGCGGUAAUUC
rnacentral:rRNA from 1 species